rnacentral:rRNA from 1 species
CCCGGAUGUUAGCGGCGGACGGGUGAGUAACACGUGGGUAACCUGCCUGUAAGACUGGGAUAACUCCGGGAAACCGGAGCUAAUACCGGAUAGUUCCUUGAACCGCAUGGUUCAAGGAUGAAAGACGGUUUCGGCUGUCACUUACAGAUGGACCCGCGGCGCAUUAGCUAGUUGGUGAGGUAACGGCUCACCAAGGCGACGAUGCGUAGCCGACCUGAGAGGGUGAUCGGCCACACUGGGACUGAGACACGGCCCAGACUCCUACGGGAGGCAGCAGUAGGGAAUCUUCCGCAAUGGACGAAAGUCUGACGGAGCAACGCCGCGUGAGUGAUGAAGGUUUUCGGAUCGUAAAGCUCUGUUGUUAGGGAAGAACAAGUGCAAGAGUAACUGCUUGCACCAUGACGGUACCUAACCAGAAAGCCACGGCUAACUACGUGCCAGCAGCCGCGGUAAUACGUAGGUGGCAAGCGUUGUCCGGAAUUAUUGGGCGUAAAGGGCUCGCAGGCGGUUUCUUAAGUCUGAUGUGAAAGCCCCCGGCUCAACCGGGGAGGGUCAUUGGAAACUGGGAAACUUGAGUGCAGAAGAGGAGAGUGGAAUUCCACGUGUAGCGGUGAAAUGCGUAGAGAUGUGGAGGAACACCAGUGGCGA